rnacentral:rRNA from 1 species
GGAAUAUUGGACAAUGGGCGAAAGCCUGAUCCAGCCAUGCCGCGUGAGUGAUGAAGGCCUUAGGGUUGUAAAGCUCUUUCAGUAGGGAAGAUAAUGACGGUACCUACAGAAGAAGCCCCGGCUAACUUCGUGCCAGCAGCAGCGGUACUACGAAGGGGGCUAGCGUUGUUCGGAUUUACUGGGCGUAAAGCGCACGUAGGCGGAUUGUUAAGUCAGAGGUGAAAUCCUGGGGCUCAACUCCAGAACUGCCUUUGAUACUGGCAAUCUAGAGUCCGGAAGAGGUAAGUGGAACUCCUAGUGUAGAGGUGGAAUUCGUAGAUAUUAGGAAGAACACCAGUGGCGAAGGCGGCUUACUGGUCCGGUACUGACGCUGAGGUGCGAAAGCGUGGGGGGCAAAC